UUUCGCGCCAAAUGCAGCGCCGCGUGGGCCUCAGUCGCCAUCUUUGUGCGAUCCAGGGAGGUCGUGUCUGUGCUGCGUGUGACGUCUUGUUGAAUAUGGCUCAAGAUGAGCAGAAUGAAGGUCAAUCUCGAAGUCCCACAGUCAGAGCUCAAGACUGUCAGGCAGGACUUCAUUCCUUGAUGAAUGCGGCUCAACUGCUAACAGGAUAAGAAGACACGGACCGGGAGAAGUUGGACGCUUUUUAGAAUUUCCUCUCGUACCGCUAGUGUCAUGGGUGGAGGGGAGUGAGGCUGCCAUCUCCGAAGACAACACGCCUCUGAGUGUGCGCCUCCUAGUUUGUGCGGCAAUGUUCCCCGUGUUCAAUGAGAAAAUUCAAUGCCCCAGCGCUCAGAACUCCCAGCUAGUAUUGACGCAAGAGCUCUCCCAAAUGUCGACCGGAAAGUCGUUAAAAAAAUCGUUGCGACGACCGCGGCUCGACAAGCUGAGGACCGCGCCAGUGAAUGCAUGUGAAACGGCACCUCUACUCUCUCAUCGCCAGGCCCAAAGACGUGUUGUUUAUAGGUGUCUUUCAUAAUACUAGUGUUGCUGAUCGCGGAGGACCACUGUCCACUGCUCGUCCGCCGUGGCGUUACUUCUGAUGAGGCUCAGAGCGCAUGUGUAUUGUUUACUGUGAACAAUCUGUUGAAAUAUAUAAUGAGUAGAUCUGUA
rnacentral:lncRNA from 1 species